rnacentral:tRNA from 1 species
GGGAAGGCGCCAAAGCCGGAGAGUUGGGGCGGGCUGUAAACCCGCUGCCUUUGUUGCUGAGUAGGUUCGACUCCUACCCUUCCCACCA